GGAGAGUCCACUCCUCAUCCAGCUUCUCCCACGUGGCCUCCCGGGAGGACUGCGUCCCCGUCCAGCCCCUCCCUCACGGGGACACCCGCUACCCUGCACGGUCCCCCACCCCCAGCUUCCCCGCUACGCUCAAGUUAACUUACUCGGCCCUAAUGCACCCCAGUCCCCAGCACUCCUUCCUUCCACCUGGGUGAAACUGCCCACCACUCUCGGCCUCAAUUCAGCAGAACAGAUUGCCGCGCCCACCCCUCAGCACCACUGCUGUCUGCUGAGGAGUUGAAUGGAUAGACAAACUCUGGCACAUCCAGAUGAAAGAGGUUCCUCAGCACUGAAAAGAACUGAGCUGUGAAUGAGCUGUCGAGUCGGGAAGGGACAUGGAUGAACCUUAAAUGCAUAUUGCUAAGUGCCGGGGACCAAAAGGACCCCCCCCCCGCCCACAAAAUGGCGAACUUCCCGCUUCUCUUUCGGGUCCUCUGCUCCCGCCGGUGCCAGCCAAGGCCCAAUCACCCCUCUACACCUUCCCGCCGGCGCCACCUAAGGUCCAAUUAUCUUCUGACCCACCCCUUCCUUGCUAACCUGUAUAAAUUGAGCCUGCAAACAAUAAACUGUGCCAGCUUGAUCAGACAUCCUGUCUUGCUGGUCGUGCUUUGUGUCCCUUGCUUGUUUCAU